rnacentral:rRNA from 1 species
GGGUCAGUAGGUUGGUCGUGCCACCGGUACGUACUGGCCUCACUGAUUCCUCCUUCCUGAAGAACCGUAAUGCCAUUAAUUUGGUGUUGCGGGGAAACAGGACUGUUACUUUGAAAAAAUUAGAGUGUUUAAAGCAAGCUAACGCUUGAAUACAUUAGCAUGGAAUAAUGAAAUAGGACGACCGAUCCUAUUUUGUUGGUUUCUAGGAUUGACGUA